rnacentral:lncRNA from 1 species
GAACCUGAGUGGUGAACAGGUCAGGGAUCCAAGGUCUCCUCCUGGGCUCCAAGGUGCUGCUGCUGGUUGAUGUCUCUGCUGCCUACGUCCACCGGAAGCAGAAGGCCUGACUGUAAGUGUAGAGGAGGGAGGGUGGGCCAAGGGCUGCUCCAGAAGGUCAGGCCAGCAGGAGCCACGCAGCCUCAGGGUGAGUGGAGUUUGGAGAAGGUGAUGGGGCUUCCUCAGCACCCUCAGAAGUCUCAGUCAGGGAACCCUCUAGGAGAAUCCCAACCCCAGGAAGUGUGUGGGUGCUGCAGGAGGUGGGCUACCGCAAGGGUGUUCAAAGGUGUCCACAGCACCCUAGGGGCCCAUAGGGGAGGUGGGGAGAGGGGGCUGAAUGAGGGCCAACUUUGUGGGUGGUCCCUUGCAGGCCAUCUCUCAAUUAUUUGAUGCUGUACUCCAUGGCGUCUAAGGAAUCCCCACUGUAGAGUACUGUUGAGACGCCUCAAGUGGGCUGCUCUUAGUGCUCUCAGGCUCUCAGCGCCUGAGUGGCAGGCAUCCCAGGAGGAAGACCAGCACUGAGGACAUAGCAGACUCUCAGGAAUCAUUUCUUGAAUGAUGAGCAGAUGACUAAAUGUGGACGUGUUUCCCACAGCUCCUUUCCUCCUCCCCCGCCAUGUGGGACCCUCAGUCUGUGCUGCCUCCUUCCUUCCUUGAAGGGCUCAGCUGGAGAGAAGGAGCUGGCGAGAAGCUUCCCCAGACUCAGCUCCAAAUGCCUAUCCUCCCAGGACAUCUUCCUGCCCACAGGCUCCUGUUACUCCUUUGCAGAGUCCUUGAUGCUCCAUAGCAGGGUCUUCAUUCAUGGUCCUGAGCAGAGGCCAUGGGAUGGGGCUCUGGGGAGUGACUCACGACACCUCCCUAGGAUGUGGGAAACAUGCCAAAUCUAAACACAUUAGGACUCCUUGCAUCCAUCGCCUUGGGACUGGCCAUAAACCAUAGACUC